GGCAUUGGUAACCUGUGGGCUGGGAGGGCUUGGUGAAGUGAUACCUCUGCUGUUCCCUUGGAUUGAAGUGUUCGAAACCAUUUACGUGUGAGCCAUCUUGUGCUGGAGCUUCUUAGCAACCCAAAGAGAUAAUCAUCGCCCGCUGACAACCCCUCGCCAUCCAUCACCCGCGCGCGGCGGCUGUCAGCAGAUCCCAGCCCCUACCUGGGGGGAGAGGCACUGCCACUGAGGCAUCUCACAGCACUGUGCAGCAGGAGGAUGGCAGAUAACUUCAGUCAGCUCGAGAGAUUGAUAUGCAAGGCAAAGGGAAGUGCAUUAAGCUAUUUAACUGCCUGGAAAUCCAGCGUGAUGAACAUCCAAAGGAAAACUUACUUUGUCCAAACCAAGUGCUCAAGUGACAACGAAGUCAAGUGCUUGCAAGGUAGAGAAGGAUAAUUGCUGUACCCUGAAAGGAUGUGUCCGGUCUGUAUUUCACAGAGCUGAAGCUAACUCUGAAGACUUUGGCUUUGAAUGACCUUGCUUAUUUUUCUGGCUCUCCUACCCUUCAGUAUGGCUGCUACCUAUAUACUGUGGAACGAAUGGAGCUGAGGUCAUGGCCCCUGUAGCUGCUCCACGAAAUAUGUCCACUGGGAACUUCACGGAUUGGCCCCCUGCCCCUCCACUGUUGCAAAACGUGCUGAGCCAGAAGUAGGAAAAUAGAAAAUGAUGACUUUAAACUUCACCACACCUAAAAUCACAAAAACAGCCGCCACGAGAGCCGCAUCCCCGUUGCCACGGCUGAGGGUCCCCGCGCUGAGGGGGCCCUGAGGGGCGCUCCCCGCC
ensembl:lncRNA